UCCGAGUUGUCCCCGGCAGUCCCCUUAGAGUCCCCGGCAUUACCCGCUGGCAACUAAGGGCAGGGGUUGCGCUCGUUGCGGCACUUAAGCCAACACCUCACGGCACGAGCUGACGACAGCCAUGCAGCACCUGUGCUGGCCCCUUACGGACACGGGCUUUCACCCGCUUUAACCAGCAUGUCAAACCCAGGUAAGGUUCUUCGCGUUGCAUCGAAUUAAGCCACAUGCUCCGCCGCUUGUGCGGGUCCCCGUCAAUUCCUUUGAGUUUUAGCCUUGCGGCCGUACUCCCCAGGCGGGGUGCUUAAUGCGUUAGCUUCGGCACGGAACGGGUUGAAGGCCACCCCACACCUAGCACCCAUCGUUUACGGCGUGGACUAC
rnacentral:misc_RNA from 1 species